rnacentral:rRNA from 1 species
GACGAACGCUGGCGGCGUGCCUAGUACAUGCAAGUCGAGCGCAGGAAACUGACGGAACUCUUCGGAGGGAAGGCAGUGGAAUGAGCGGCGGACGGGUGAGUAACACGUAAGGAACCUGCCUCAAGGAUUGGGAUAACUCCGAGAAAUCGGAGCUAAUACCGGAUAGUUCAUCGGACCGCAUGGUCCGUUGAUGAAAGGCGCUCCGGCGUCACCUUGAGAUGGCCUUGCGGUGCAUUAGCUAGUUGGUGGGGUAAAGGCCCACCAAGGCGACGAUGCAUAGCCGACCUGAGAGGGUGAUCGGCCACACUGGGACUGAGACACGGCCCAGACUCCUACGGGAGGCAGCAGUAGGGAAUCUUCCACAAUGGACGAAAGUCUGAUGGAGCAACGCCGCGUGAGUGAUGAAGGUUUUCGGAUCGUAAAACUCUGUUGUAAGGGAAGAACACGUACGAGAGGAAAUGCUCGUACCUUGACGGUACCUUACGAGAAAGCCACGGCUAACUACGUGCCAGCCGCCGCAGUAA